UCCUCUUCUUCGGUGUCUGGUUCUCCCUAGUCUUCUCUCAGAUCGCCUUUUUCUUCUGCUCGUCGCUGGUGACCUCAUUCAAUUGGUGGAUUGUCGCCGCCUUCCUCCGCGCCGAUUCCACCUUCCUGCUACGCUAUUCCUUUUGUCCUCCAUGUUCUCAACUGUGUUCCUCUGAUUAGCCGCUCGCUGAGAACUGCACAACCGCUGUUUUACCCGUAUCUGAGGACUCUUGGCAACAUCAGCUCCUCUAGUGCAACCGAUUUGCGGGUAAUUCCUUUUAUGCUCGGAUUUAUUCUUCGCCAAAUUUUUGUUCUUCGUCCUCAGUUUUUAUUAUGAAUUUGGAUGAUGGGUUUUGUUGGAUUUUGGUUGUUCUUAUGGGUUUUGUUGUUCCCCCGACAAAGAGGAGGCGAGAGUAAAAAAGAAAGAGAGAAGAGAACAGGAAAUAAGAGAAAGAAGAAUAAGAAGAAGGAGACGAAAAGCUCUCUGGGUUUUCUUUGAUCUGUUGCUGACCAAAGGAAGAUUCAUCUUCAGCUGACCAAGCCUGUUACUUAGCCUCCAUUGGUAUGGGGAGUUUGCGGAGCUACUGCCUCUGUACAUUACAUCGGGACGGGACACAGUUCGAUUCGAGCGGCAAUAGGGGGACAUCGUUCAGUUCAGUCGGACAAGUUAAGAAGAAGGGAAAGAGAUGAAGAAGAAAGCUCUAGAAUGGAAGAGGUUGGCAAUGGAACCAGAUGCUUCUUUCUCCCAGAAAAUAACUAGUAAA